CGUCAGUUCCAGAUAGCGCAGGCAGCGGUAUUUGCACAGGAAAAAGAAAGAGCAGAGAUAGGGAAGGAAUUACAUGAUAAUAUUGGUCAGCUGUUAACAACUACGAAGCUGUAUUUAGAGAUGAUGAAGUUGAAGCAGGCCGACCCUACAGAAUUGAUCGAUCGUGGUACAAA
rnacentral:misc_RNA from 1 species